GCAAAACAAAUUCUCUUGGAGAUAGCUUGGACUUCAACUUCAACUUCAACUGUUAUUUGGCGAAGAAGUUCUUGUGCCGGCCACACCUACCUAUUAUUUUGGCAGGACUUUAGCUUGCAUGGAAGCCUCGGAUGACCGUCUCUCUGAUCAUUUUCUCACCUAUUCCACCUUUGAAUAUGAAGGGUAACUGUGUUCAACAAAUGAAAUUUAGUUUCAAUGUAGAGAGUUGAGCAAUGCCAUAUAUCUUGAGAAGGC